rnacentral:ncRNA from 1 species
GUGUCGCGGGACCACGUGUCCCGUCGGCGCGGUCGCCGUCGCGCUCGUCAGCCGUCUCGGGGUGUUAGUUACCGGCACGUCGGCCGGACGUAUUGUCGGCAGGCGGACACGUGUCUCGUGCUUCCGGCGCGCCGCGCGGCCACGCGUCGCGCGGCCGUCGGUGUUCGACGACGGCGGCCGCCUACUCCAAUCUUGCUGCGCGGUGCUCUUCACCGAGUGCCGUCGGCGGGCCGACACGUUUACUUUGAACAAAUUAGAGUGCUCAAAGCAGGCUCGAAUCUGGCGGGGCGGCUUCACGGCCGUCUCGUCAAAAGGCCCUGAAUACUGGUCGCAUGGAAUAAUGGAACAAGACCUCGGUCCCGCGCAUCUCCGCCCUUCGCGGGCGCGCGAAAUCGCCCUCCGGGGCGUUUCCGUGCGCGGGCCGCCGGGCCGCGGGCGCCAGUCGCCCGCGCGUCCCGCCGGGCCGGUUUUCGGGACCGGAGGUAAUGAUCAACAGAGACGGGCGGGGGCAUUCGUACCGAGACGUUAGAGGUGAAAUUCUUGGAUCGUCUCGAGACGAACUGACGCGAAAGCAUUUGCCAAGUACGUUCUCGUAUGAUCAAGAACGAAAGUUAGAGGUUCGAAGGCGAUCAGAUACCGCCCUAGUUCUAACUGUAAACGAUGCCAGCUAGCGAUCCGCCGGCGUUUCAUUAACGACCCGGCGGGCAGCUUCCGGGAAACCGAAGCUUUUCGGUUCCGGGGGAAGUAUGAUUGCAAAGUUGAAACUUAAAGGAAUUGACGGAAGGGCACCACCAGGAGUGGAGCCUGCGGCUUAAUUUUGACUCAACACGGGAAACCUCACCAGGCCCGGACACCGGAAAGAUUGACAGAUUGAGAGCUCUUUCUUGAUUCGGUGGGUGGUGGUGCAUGGCCGUUCUUAGUUGGUGGAGCGAUCUGUCUGGUUAAUUCCGAUAACGAACGAGACUCUGUCCUGCUAACUAGGCGGGUAAACCCGGGUCGGCGUGUGCGCGGCGCUGGCGGUUUCGGCCGUCAGUGUUCGCGUACCCGUCGGCUCGGCCCGGUAUCCCCGAACGCGUUCGCCCGUCGUCCACGGCGGUCGUCGGGCGCGGCCGCGCCAUCCGCGUCCCGGCGUUCGGCGGGCGUAUGUCGGCCGGGGGGCAACCUCCGGUCGGCCUGCGUCCGUCGUGCGUCGGGCUCCGUGGUGAAGCGCGCCGUGUUCGCGGCCGUCGCCGGCGGAUCACGAUACGUUACUAGGGCUACCGCCGG